UGCUUUAUUCUUUCAUCACAGAUUGGAGAGAUGCAGGCUCCUGCUGGGAGCACACGCUCUUGCGGACAGGUGUGGGUCGUGGUGCGCGGACAGGCUGCUUUACAGGAAUCUCGAGGGGGGACGGGGUUCUUGUGAGGCAGGCCCAGGUGUGCAGCCCCGGGCUCCAGACGGCAGUGCCGGGCACAGCGCUCCUGCACACGGCCCGCUGCCCCCACCCUGGAUUGCGGUGUGGUGGGCACGGUCUCUGCACACGGCCCUCCCAGGUGAGGUGUCGGGGCAGCCGUUUUACAAGAGGAACUCUGAUGUCAAGUGGCAGGUGUGAGGCCUCAGCACACAGCACCCGGUGAGCCAGUGAGAGAGACUACACACAAGGAAAAGAAGAAGAUUAUCUGCUGGCCUGAAUUGCCCUUGGAAUUCCAAGCUCACACCUGGGUAUCCUGGACUAGGGAAUGGACCCAGACCAGCUCGCCUUGGUAAUCUGGAGCAGCAAGCCACACAAUACAAUACAUUCCUUUGCCAGCAGAUCUGUUACUAAAGGAAUUCAUGCAUCUUGCAUCUUGAAGAUGCAUUAUUAAUGCCUGGACAAAUCACAUCAGGUGAAACGCAGCAAGUCCCUGGCACUGAAAAAAAGGAACAAAGGCUGGUUCUACAAGAGAGGGAUGGAUGAGACAAAUUAUAACAGCUGGGAGUUUCUUGAUGAGAAGAUGCAGUCACUUAGAGUUGUGAGCUUCCAACGUAAAUAGCAUUUCCGUCCUAAUUGAGAAAUAGCCAGGGAUGGAUGAACCUUGCCCUCAUGGACUUCAGAUGUAAAGUUCCUGGAGUUUCAAACAACUCUGAAGACUUUUAAAAGCAUUAAAAUAUAUUUUUCCUAUUAUAAAAGCAAUCUCUGUAUAGG
ensembl:lncRNA